rnacentral:rRNA from 1 species
UGCGUAGGCGGAAAAUUAAGUCAGUGGUGAAGUCCUGCAGCUUAACUGUAGAACUGUCAUUGAUACUGAUUUUCUUGAAUAUAGUUGAGGUAGGCGGAAUGUGUAAUGUAGCGGUGAAAUGCUUAGAUAUUACACAGAACACCGAUUGCGAAGGCAGCUUACUAAGCUAUUAUUGACGCUGAGGCACGAAAGCGUGGGGAGCGAACAGGAUUAGAUACCCUGGUAGUCC